rnacentral:rRNA from 1 species
GAUGAACGCUGGCGGCGUGCCUAAUACAUGCAAGUCGAGCGAAUGGAUUAAGAGCUUGCUCUUAUGAAGUUAGCGGCGGACGGGUGAGUAACACGUGGGUAACCUGCCCAUAAGACUGGGAUAACGCAGGGAAACCGGGGCUAAUACCGGAUAAAAUUUUGAAACGCAUGGUUAGAAAUUGAAAGGCGGCUUAGGCUGUAAGUGAUGGAUGGCCACGCGUCGCAUUAGCUAGUUGGUCAGGUAACGGCUCACAAAGGCAACGAUGCGUAGCCGACCUGAGAGGGUGAUCGGCCACACUGGGACUGAGACACGGCCCAGACUCCUACGGGAGGCAGCAGUAGGGAAUCUUCCGCAAUGGACGAAAGUCUGACGGAGCAACGCCGCGUGAGUGAUGAAGGCUUUCGGGUCGUAAAACUCUGUUGUUAGGGAAGAACAAGUGCUAGUUGAAUAAGCUGGCACCUUGACGGUACCUAACCAGAAAGCCACGGCUAACUACGUGCCAGCCGCCGCAGUAA